GGCGGCACGCCUAACACAUGCAAGUCGAACGAAGUAGCAAUACUUAGUGGCAGACGGGUGAGUAACAUGUGGGUAUCUGCCCUUUGGCCUGGAAUAACACGAGGAAACUUGUGCUAAUACCGGAUAAGUCUUUACGGAGAAAGCUUUAUGCACCAUUGGAUGAGCCUGCACUUGAUUAGUUUGUUGGUGGGGUAAUGGCCUACCAAGACUGUGAUCAAUAGCUGAUUUGAGAGGAUGAUCAGCCACAUUGGGACUGAGACACGGCCCAAACUCCUACGGGAGGCAGCAGUGGGGAAUCUUGCACAAUGGAGGAAACUCUGAUGCAGCGAUGCCGCGUGAGUGAAGAAGGCCCUUGGGUUGUAAAGCUCUUUCGUCGGGGAAGAAAAUGACUGUACCCGAAUAAGAAGGUCCGGCUAACUUCGUGCCAGCAGCCGCGGUAAUACGAAGGGACCUAGCGUAGUUCGGAAUUACUGGGCUUAAAGAGUUCGUAGGUGGUUGAAAAAGUUAGUGGUGAAAUCCCAGAGCUUAACUCUGGAACUGCCAUUAAAACUUUUCAGCUAGAGUAUGAUAGAGGAAAGCAGAAUUUCUAGUGUAGAGGUGAAAUUCGUAGAUAUUAGAAAGAAUACCAAUUGCGAAGGCAGCUUUCUGGAUCAUUACUGACACUGAGGAACGAAAGCAUGGGUAGCGAAGAGGAUUAGAUACCCUCGUAGUCCAUGCCGUAAACGAUGUGUGUUAGACGUUGGAAAUUUAUUUU
rnacentral:rRNA from 1 species